GAUGAACGCUAGCGGGAGGCUUAAUACAUGCAAGUCGAGGGGUAACAGUGGAGCUUGCUCCAGCUGACGACCGGCGCACGGGUGAGUAACGCGUACGCAAUCUACCUUCAAGAGAGGGAUAGCCCUGGGAAACUGGGAUUAAUACCUCAUGGUAUCAUAAUGCCGCCUGGUAUAAUGAUUAAAGUUCCGGCACUUGAAGAUGAGCGUGCGUCCUAUUAGCUAGUUGGUAAGGUAACGGCUUACCAAGGCGACGAUAGGUAGGGGGCGUGAGAGCGUGGCCCCCCACACGGGUACUGAGACACGGACCCGACUCCUACGGGAGGCAGCAGUAAGGAAUAUUGGACAAUGGGCGCAAGCCUGAUCCAGCCAUCCCGCGUGCAGGAUGACGGCCCUAUGGGUUGUAAACUGCUUUUAUAAGAGAAGAAACGAAUGUAUUUAUAUGUUCCUGACGGUACCUUAUGAAUAAGCACCGGCUAACUCCG
rnacentral:rRNA from 1 species